AGCAGAGCCAAGAAAACAGGGACUUGCAGGCAUGCUGAGUAAUCUGCAUUAGUCCCCACUGAAGACAGUCAGGGAUGUGAAGAACAGCUAGACAGUCUUUGAGGAAGGAGCUGGUGAAGUUCUGGGCCUGCGUGGAGGCCUGGUGGCAGGUUAGCUCGGGGUGGGGCGGGGGUGCUGAUGCGGAGGUGUCUGGUCUGCAGAGCAGCAUGUAGCAGCUCUGUGUUAGAAUCCAGGAGAACCUCCUCUGAGAGGUGCCAGGUACAGUCCUACGCAUUAGUGAGCCUGAGUACCAGGCUUGCAUAUGGGCUUUCUCUCCCAGCACAAGGGGGAUAAUGCUAAGGACUAAAAUUCCUACUGCUGUUUUCUGUAAGCAAAUGCCUUACUGGGGCUAGCCUCACUUGUUACCGUAUCCCUGAGAAGUAGAGGAAUUAUCUUUAUUCUGCUCACUAGAGAAAUGUAGCUUGGAGAGGCUAAGUAGUUAAUCUAAUGUGGGUCUGCUGCCAAGGCCCUUGCCCUUUCUUCCACAUCGAGCUGCUUGUCCAAAGAGAGACUCUCAAGGCUGGAGGAGCGGGAAGUCUGCAGCAAGGUGGAUUUGAGGGCAGGUACAGUCUUGUGUGGAGCCAAAGGGGACCCCAGGUCAUCAUAGAGCAUAGCUGUAUCAGACUGUUCCUGUACCUGAAGAGUCUUCAAGAGAGCUAUGGGCUCUUGUUCUGCUAAGGAAACAGGCCCUGCUGGUGCUGGGAGUGGAGUGCCAGCCUAGUGACAGUGCAUGGGCACCAGUCUUUGUGAUGGCAUAGCUGACAUCCUUAGGUCUUGCUCUAUGCCAAACACACAUAUUAGCUCAUUGCAUCCUCCUAGCAGCCCUAUGAAGUAGAAACUACUAUUAUCCCCAUGUUAUUGGAAGUUAAAUGUCCUGCUCAAGGUGACACAGCUAAAAAAUGGUACAGCUGGGAUUUGAACCUGGACAGCCUGGCUCUGAGUCUGUGCUCUGAAUAGCAACUCUGUGUGUAUCAUCUGUCAAAGGAGCAAAGAAGCAAGAGCCUCCCAUAGGAACAGAGUUUACCAACGCUGAGGAUUGUUUAUUACUUUGUUGAUUCUUCUGCCAUUGGCUGUGACUCAUACAGUGCUGAAUAUACAGUGUUCUCAAUCAACAGCUAAACUACCAUGUAUGCCAUGCACAGAGGCAGGUCACCACCAUGAAAGAGCCACUAAGGAGUCAUGGAGUCCAUAGCAGGGGUAGAUCUGGCAAAAGAGGAAUGGCCCCAUCUAGGAGGAAAUACAGAUGACAUUCUUGCAGAGUCCUAGAGAUAAUCCUAAUGAGGAAGGUUUGGGGGUGCUAUGAAUGGAAUGUGUCUACCCCAAAUUCACAUGUUGAAGCCCCAAGCUGCAAUGUGACUAUAUUUGGAGAUGGAGCCUGAAUGAAAUCACCAAGUGGCCCUGGUCCAGUAGGAUUGGUGACUGUCAGAAGAGACACCAGAAGUCACUCUCUCUCCACUAUGUGAGGACCCAGUGAGAAGGUGGCUGUCUAUAAGCCAGGAAGAGGGCUGUCUCCAGGAAUGGAAUCAGCCAGCACCUUUCUCUUGCUCUUCCAGCUUCCAGAAUUGUGAGGAACAUAUUUCUGUUGUUUAAGUCUCCCUGUCUGUGGUAGUUUGUUGGCAGCUGAGAAGACCAAGACAGAAUUUUGGCACUGACAUGUGGGGUGCUGCUGUAACCAAUC
rnacentral:lncRNA from 12 species